UAAAUUUUUAUUUAUCUAAAAACAACUUAUUUCAUGUAACUUACUUAACUCAUAAACACAACUUAUACCGCACAAAAAACUAGUACAAACACACCAAAUACUACAACUAAAAGUCUCAAACGUUGGUAACUAAGCAAAUCCUAAAAUUAAAAAGUCAAUUGGGACUUUUAUUUUGAAAUAAAGUAGGGAUAAAUUAAUCAGCUCUAUGCCCUUGAAUAACAUAACCCUGAUGAGGGAUGACUAAUUUCAGGAAACCAGUCUCCUCACAGCUAGCAGCAGGAGCAUAUAUCUGUCCUUCAACCUUCAACCUUCAACUUUUCCCACAUUCAAAUUCAGGAGAAAAAGUUACUUUUAAAAAAAUAAGGAUAAAACAAUAACUUUAAAAUUACUGCAGACAAAUUUUGAUUAAAAAUCACUAAAAUGAAAAACCCAUAAAGUAGUCCAUCUGUUUAAUUUUUACCCAAAAAAAAAAGGAACCCAAAGAUUAAAGAUAUAUAUGAACAAAGCUAGCUAACUUGACAAUCAAUUUGGGACACCAUAUAUUCUUGAAAUUAAUAAACAAGUGAUGAUCUUUCUCUGUCUCUAUAUAUGCUUAUUCUCUGGAAGAAACUAAAAUGAUCAAGGACCUGUGGGAUUGCUCUUAUGGUGAAGAGGGUCUGGUCCAGUUGGCACUUCCCUUGCUGAAUCCUCUGUCCCAAAACCUGACUCUCCAUUUCCAAAUUUAUCCAACAAUCCCUUCAUUUUUCAACAAAAAAAAAAUGUAAAUUAAUAAAAAAUAAUUAAAACCCUCCAUGAAAAAUACAAUGUUCAAGAUAAAAAAAUAAAAUAUAAAAGAAAUAUAACAUAAUUAAAGAUGUUUUUUUUAACUCAAGAAAAUGGCUGAUACUUGUAUUUAUAUAUAUAUAUAUAUAUAUAUAUACACACACACACACCUGACACCCCCACCCACCCACCUGUGUAGCUAUGCUUUCUGCCAUUUUGGUCUCUACUUGUAAACCUGAGAAAAAUUAAAGGGGGAAAAAAGAAGAAGAACCAUUUUAUAAUAGUUUGUACAUUUAGAGAGAGAAACCAUAACUAAAAGAGAAAGAGACAGACUUACAGGGACGAGAAGUUUGGACAAAAGGUGCUGAAACCGCCAUUAAAAUGGCCGAGAAGAGUAAAAAACAGGUUAAAUCUCUGCAAAAGGCCAUCUUUUUUGGUAAGAAAUGAAACCCUGUCCCAAAAUCUGUCACAUAUAAGAAAAAUAAACACAGAAAGAUUAGUGAAACAGAGCUUUUUAUGGAGUCGCCGAAUUGAAGUUCUGGAAAUUUGCAAAAAUAAAAUAAAAUUGGGAAUAUAUUUUAGCACCAUGCCUAAAUUAUCCCUUAAAAUUUUCAGUAAAAAAGCUACGAUUUCAAUAUUUGAGGGGUGUUUUGGUCUUUUCGUUAAUGGAG
rnacentral:lncRNA from 1 species